UCGGGGUACUCGAGUGGCGAACGGGUGAGUAACACGUGGGUGAUCUGCCCUGCACUUUGGGAUAAGCCUGGGAAACUGGGUCUAAUACCGAAUAGGACCACGCGCUUCAUGGUGUGUGGUGGAAAACUUUUGCGGUGUGGGAUGGGCCCGCGGCCUAUCAGCUUGUUGGUGGGGUAAUGGCCUACCAAGGCGACGACGGGUAGCCGGCCUGAGAGGGUUACCGGCCACACUGGGACUGAGAUACGGCCCAGACUCCUACGGGAGGCAGCAGUGGGGAAUAUUGCACAAUGGGCGCAAGCCUGAUGCAGCGACGCCGCGUGAGGGAUGACGGCCUUCGGGUUGUAAACCUCUUUCANUAGGGACGAAGCGCAAGUGACGGUACCUNUAGAAGAAGCACCGGCCAACUACGUGCCAGCAGCCGCGGUAAUACGUAGGGUGCGAGCGUUGUCCGGAAUUACUGGGCGUAAAGAGCUCGUAGGUGGUUUGUCGCGUUGUUCGUGAAAACUCACAGCUUAACUGUGGGCGUGCGGGCGAUACGGGCAGACUAGAGUACUGCAGGGGAGACUGGAAUUCCUGGUGUAGCGGUGGAAUGCGCAGAUAUCAGGAGGAACACCGGUGGCGAAGGCGGGUCUCUGGGCAGUAACUGACGCUGAGGAGCGAAAGCGUGGGGAGCGAACAGGAUUAGAUACCCUGGUAGUCCACGCCGUAAACGGUGGGUACUAGGUGUGGGUUCCUUCCUUGGGAUCCGUGCCGUAGCUAACGCAUUAAGUACCCCGCCUGGGGAGUACGGCCGCAAGGCUAAAACUCAAAGGAAUUGACGGGGGCCCGCACAAGCGGCGGAGCAUGUGGAUUAAUUCGAUGCAACGCGAAGAACCUUACCUGGGUUUGACAUGCACAGGACGCCGGCAGAGAUGUCGGUUCCCUUGUGGCCUGUGUGCAGGUGGUGCAUGGCUGUCGUCAGCUCGUGUCGUGAGAUGUUGGGUUAAGUCCCGCAACGAGCGCAACCCUUGUCCUAUGUUGCCAGCGGGUUAUGCCGGGGACUCGUAGGAGACUGCCGGGGUCAACUCGGAGGAAGGUGGGGAUGACGUCAAGUCAUCAUGCCCCUUAUGUCCAGGGCUUCACACAUGCUACAAUGGCCGGUACAAAGGGCUGCGAUGCCGUGAGGUGGAGCGAAUCCUUUCAAAGCCGGUCUCAGUUCGGAUCGGGGUCUUCAACUCGACCCCGUGAAGUCGGAGUCGCUAGUAAUCGCAGAUCAGCAACGCUGCGGUGAAUACGUUCCCGGGCCUUGUACACACCGCCCGUCACGUCAUGAAAGUCGGUAACACCCGAAGCC
rnacentral:rRNA from 1 species